AGAUAUUCAAUACAGUUUCCCUUUCUAGCAUUCAGGUACUAUUAGGGCUCCCGAGCGUUUCAACGUCUUAAAUGCGCUACGUUUCGUAAUUAAGCGCUUUAAUGAGUGCGUUACGUUUGAGAUUAAAAGCGCUUUAAGGCGCUUUAAAUGCUGGGGCAGUUUAAAUAGCGCUGAGAAUGUCGGAAAAAGGGUUGGAACCUUUGGCAAAUUUAGGAGAAACUCUUUGGUUGCUUGCCCGUGCUUUAAGGUUACGUACAAGUGACCGGAGAAUAUUUUUGCCUAAAGAAGACAACACACACACUUAUACACAGUUUCUUUUACCACCCUCAGAGUGCCAUACGCGGUGCUCAGAUACGUGGGUGGACAGUUUUUUGGUGUUUCUUGCUGGCUGACUUGAGCGUCGGAGUGCAUACGGCCGCUAGGGCGCCUCUUUGUCCUCUUUUUUGCAGGAAUUCACAGGCAAUCGGCGGGAAGGAGUCCCUAGCUGACGGUUGAGGUCGCGCACGAAGACGUCCCGGUC
rnacentral:lncRNA from 1 species